rnacentral:rRNA from 1 species
UACGAAGGGGGCUAGCGUUGCUCGGAUUUACUGGGCGUAAAGGGCGCGUAGGCGGACAGUUAAGUCGGGGGUGAAAGCCCGGGGCUCAACCUCGGAAUUGCCUUCGAUACUGGCUGUCUUGAGUGCGGGAGAGGUGUGUGGAACUCCGAGUGUAGAGGUGAAAUUCGUAGAUAUUCGGAAGAACACCAGUGGCGAAGGCGACACACUGGCCCGUUACUGACGCUGAGGCGCGAAAGCGUGGGGAGCAAACAGG